UAAUACGUAGGGUGCAAGCGUUAAUCGGAAUUACUGGGCGUAAAGCGUGCGCAGGCGGACUUUUAAGCCAGAUGUGAAAGCCCCGAGCUUAACUUGGGAAUUGCGUUUGGAACUGGGAGUCUAGAGUCUGUCAGAGGGGGAUGGAAUUCCACGUGUAGCAGUGAAAUGCGUAGAGAUGUGGAGGAACACCGAUGGCGAAGGCAGUCCCCUGGGAUAAGACUGACGCUCAUGCACGAAAGCGUGGGGAGCAAACAGGAUUAGAUACCCUGGUAGUCCACGCCCUAAACGAUGUCUACUAGUUGUUGGGGUAGCAAUACCUCAGUGACGCAGCUAACGCGUGAAGUAGACCGCCUGGGGAGUACGGUCGCAAGAUUAAAACUCAAAGGAAUUGACGG
rnacentral:rRNA from 1 species